UCUAGGUGUGUGCCUUGUGGCUGCUGCCAGAUGCCUGGCUUUGCCUUCCUCCUCCAGGAACUGAGUUCGAUCUCCUCUCCCUUCUCCUCAUUCUGCUCAAUGUAUUCCAUUCCCUUAGGCCAGCGCCCUACCAGACAGAAGCCCUAGAGGUACCAUCUGGUCUUUGAAGUUGAAUGACUGAUACAUUAUUCUCCAACAUGUUUCUACUAUGGCGCUUAAACUGCUUUGUGGUUCAAGAUCUGGCAACUUUAAUGUCAAGUACCCAAAUUCAUAUACCUUCACUCAUAAUUCAAGCUAAGAAACUGAGAAUUCCCUUCGGUUAGAGCUGCUACCCAUCUCAUCAGCUGAAUCCAAGUGUAUUUCUUACCAUGCAUCACAGGACAGUUCAGACCUGAGGCUCCACUACAAAAAGACAGAAUAUGGUCGAGAAGAGAUGUGGAACAUUUAAGAUGACUUACAGGAUGUUACAAUCUCAGAACACCCUUCUAACAAGGUAGGCUAUGAAUCCAUCUGCCUCCUCCCAUCCUCACUAAGCAAGUUUCUUACCCCAAAG